AGAGCGAACGCUGGCGGCAGGCUUAACACAUGCAAGUCGAGCGGGCGUAGCAAUACGUCAGCGGCAGACGGGUGAGUAACGCGUGGGAACGUACCUUUUGGUCCGGAACAACCCAGGGAAACUUGGGCUAAUACCGGAUAAGCCCUUACGGGGAAAGAUUUAUCGCCGAAAGAUCGGCCCGCGUCUGAUUAGCUAGUUGGUGGGGUAAUGGCCCACCAAGGCGACGAUCAGUAGCUGGUCUGAGAGGAUGAUCAGCCACAUUGGGACUGAGACACGGCCCAAACUCCUACGGGAGGCAGCAGUGGGGAAUAUUGGACAAUGGGCGCAAGCCUGAUCCAGCCAUGCCGCGUGAGUGAUGAAGGCCCUAGGGUUGUAAAGCUCUUUGUGCGGGAAGAUAAUGACGGUACCGCAAGAAUAAGCCCGGCUAACUUCGUGCCAGCAGCCGC
rnacentral:rRNA from 1 species